AUGUAUUUAGAAUGGAGUUCUAUGUGGAAUAUAAGUAUUGUAAUCUCAAUUUUGGAGGGUAUAUAUGGUAUUGAUGCAUUAGCGAACUCUAUUAAUUUUAGCAGAGGGUGUCACAGGAAAGGGCUCUUUUUGAUGCUGGUUUUCUUUGCAUGGGGACAAUUAUUAAGAUUUUCUUGCUACUAUAUUGGAGGCUAUGAACAAGGAAAUGGAACUUUUAUACAAGCAGGUUUGUUCUGCAUGGCGAUUCCAUUGAAAUGGGUAGUUUUCAUGAUAUAUUUCAAUGAUUAUAAGGAGAGAUACUUGGGAAAGAAAAUGGAUGUGGAAUCCGGCAAAGAUGUUAGAGUUGCUCAGAAAUAA